AACUUUCAUUAAAUUCUAGUCUAGUUACCCAUACAAUUAAUUUUAUAUAUUACAAUUUAUUUAAGGUUCAUAGCUCUAGUUGAAUAAAUUGUAUACGGAGGACAAGAAACAGACAACAAACAUCGACAGGCAGCCACUGUCGCAGACUUUCGAAAACCAGAAGACAAACCCCGGCUAUCUGGUCCUAUAUCUACAUAUAUGUCAGAUCGGAGGAGAACAGACGGCGACAGGCUCUCCGGGAUUGGGAUAUAUCAUAUCUGGCAACUUAAGCGUUUAAUCACGCGUAGACAUUUGGGCGAGAUAACUUCAGAACGGAACAGAAAAUAAAAGGCAAGCCAAGUACGAAAACUUUAAGAAAUAAAUAAAAAUACCCACCAUAAAAAGUAAUUACAGCCACACGAUGUUGGCAAAAAAAUCACGAAAAAAAAAACGAAU
ensembl:ncRNA lncRNA:CR45675 long non-coding RNA:CR45675